CUCUCUUUGUCCCCCAGGGCUCAGAGUGGUCUCUGCCCAGGGCCCUGUCUCUCUCUGCUCCUCACUUUUCCUCCUCUGCAGCCGCCUUGUCUAUGGCUGUGGGACCUGAGUGUUAUUAUCUCAAGAGUCAGUCUGUUACAAGCCAGAGAUCUGAGGAUGUGAUCUGAACACUCCACUCCAGCCUUUUCAUUUCUUGUUUAUAUCUUUAUUUUUGUACUGCAGUGUAUGGCAGCCCCUUGUCCCACAGUGACGCCCCCAGCCCUCUACACUCUUGACAUGCAACCAUUUUUUUUUUACCAACUCACCUCGGAGGCUUGAGCUUCCAGCCCUGGAGGAGGGCAGAUGCUCCAUGGAGCCCCUGAGCUGCUGUAGGAGCGGGAGCCCACGGCCCCCUCCUAUGCCUGGUAGUCUGGCUUUCCUUAAUGUCACAGUGGCCCCUGGUGGGGACAUCAGCGAUCAGCCACUGCAGCCUGCGGUCCCUUCCCGAGCACGCUGGAUGCAGAUGGGGACCGAGGUGGUGGCAGCUGUGGAAGGACCAGCCCUUGCCCUUUCACUGUUGCAGGCAACUAGUGUGGGCUUGUGGCCUGGGGACAAAUGCAGAGCCACCAUCCUUUUCUGGGCCUCCUGUAUCACUCGGAGGUGUCUCUGUGCUGGGUAUCACGUUCCUUGGUGCUUCCCUCCCUGUCCCCCAAAGCAGCUCUGUGCCAGCAGUGUGAGAAGGAGAAUGGUGUGCUGCCUGGGUACCAGGAACAUGCUGGUACCUGAUGUUGUGUCAGCCACCACCAAGCAGAUCCCAGUUUUGGGGAGCGGGGCAUUUGCUUCACUGCUGUGUCUGAAGACUCCUGAAUAAAAUUCACAGUCUGUUCCUCCUUGCUGCCUCUCA